GUGGGGAAUAUUGGGCAAUGGGGGCAACCCUGACCCAGCGACGCCGCGUGAGGGAAGAAGGCCUUAGGGUCGUAAACCUCUGUUGUGUGGGAAGAAGGAAGUGACGGUACCACACGAGGAAGUCCCGGCUAACUACGUGCCAGCAGCCGCGGUAAUACGUAGGGGACGAGCGUUGUCCGGAAUUACUGGGCGUAAAGGGCGCGUAGGCGGUCAUUUAAGUCAGCUGUGAAAUGGUCCGGCUCAACCGGAUCAUGCGGUUGAAACUGGAUGACUGGAGUGCUGGAGAGGCGAGUGGAAUUCCCAGUGUAGCGGUGAAAUGCGUAGAUAUUGGGAAGAACACCGGUGGCGAAGGCGACUUGCUGGCCAGCAACUGACGCUGAGGCGCGAAAGCCAGGGGAGCAAACGGGAUUAGAAACCCGGGUAGUCC
rnacentral:rRNA from 1 species